rnacentral:rRNA from 1 species
GGUUUCUUGGUAUUAUUUAAGAAAUUUAAUCUGCCCACUGAAAAAUUUUUGAAGGGCCGCAGUAUUUUGACUGUGCAAAGGUAGCAUAAUCAUUAGUCUUUUAAUUAAGGGCUUGUAUGAAUGGUUGGACGAGGUGAAUUCUGUUUUAUGUUAAUUUAAUUGAAAUUAGUUUUUAAGUAAAAAAACUUAAAUAUUAUUAAGGGACGAGAAGACCCUAUAGAGUUUAAUAUAUGUAAUAAAUAAUUAAGUUAGAAUAUAAUUUUUAAUUAUUAUGGAAUUUAUUUAAUUGGGGUGAUUUAAAAAUAAGAAUAACUUUUUUUUAUAAUUAAUAAUAUAAUUAGCUACAUGAUCCAAAUAUAAUGAUUAAAAGAUUAAAUUACCUUAGGGAUAACAGCAUAAUUUUUUUUAAGAGUUCAUAUUGAAAAAAGAGAUUGUGACCUCGAUGUUGGAUUAAGAUUAAUUUUGGGUGUAGAUGUUCAAUAAUUAGGUCUGUUCGACCUUAAAAAUCUUACA